CCUACGGGUGGCAGCAGUGGGGAAUAUUGGACAAUGGGCGAAAGCCUGAUCCAGCCAUGCCGCGUGUGUGAAGAAGGCCUUCGGGUUGUAAAGCACUUUCAGUGGGGAAGAAAGCCUUGGGGCUAAUACCCUCGAGGAAGGACAUCACCCACAGAAGAAGCACCGGCUAACUCCGCGCCAGCAGCCGCGGUAAUACGGAGGGUGCGAGCGUUAAUCGGAAUUACUGGGCGUAAAGCGCGCGUAGGCGGUCUGAUAAGCCGGUUGUGAAAGCCCCGGGCUCAACCUGGGAACGGCAUCCGGAACUGUCAGGCUAGAGUGCAGGAGAGGAAGGUAGAAUUCCCGGUGUAGCGGUGAAAUGCGUAGAGAUCGGGAGGAAUACCAGUGGCGAAGGCGGCCUUCUGGACUGACACUGACGCUGAGGUGCGAAAGCGUGGGUAGCAAACAGGAUUAGAUACCCCAGUAGUC
rnacentral:rRNA from 1 species